UACGUAGGGGGCGAGCGUUGUCCGGAUUUAUUGGGCGUAAAGAGCUCGUAGGCGGUUGCGGAAGUCGGGUGUGAAAUACCGGGGUUCAACUCCGGGGCGCCAUUCGAUACUCCGCUGACUCGAGUCCGGUAGGGGAAGGUGGAAGUUCCUGGUGUAGCGGUGAAAUGCACAGAUAUCAAGAGGAACACCUGAGGUGAAGACGGGUUGCUGGGCUGACACUGACGCUGAGGCGCGAAAGCCAGGGGAGCAAACGGGG
rnacentral:rRNA from 1 species